GUGGGGAAUCUUAGACAAUGGGGGCAACCCUGAUCUAGCCAUGCCGCGUGAGUGAUGAAGGCCUUAGGGUCGUAAAGCUCUUUCGCCGGGGAAGAUAAUGACGGUACCCGGUAAAGAAACCCCGGCUAACUCCGUGCCAGCAGCCGCGGUAAUACGGAGGGGGUUAGCGUUGUUCGGAAUUACUGGGCGUAAAGCGCGCGUAGGCGGAUCGGAAAGUUGGGGGUGAAAUCCCGGGGCUCAACCCCGGAAUUGCCUUCAAAACUCCCGGUCUUGAGGUCGAGAGAGGUGAGUGGAAUUCCGAGUGUAGAGGUGAAAUUCGUAGAUAUUCGGAGGAACACCAGUGGCGAAGGCGGCUCACUGGCUCGAUACUGACGCUGAGGUGCGAAAGCGUGGGGAGCAAACAGGAUUAGAAACCCUAGUAGUCC
rnacentral:rRNA from 1 species